UCCUUGUCUUUCCCGCCUAUAUACCGCCGUCGUCAGCUCACCCUUUGAGGGAACCAUAGUAAGCAAAAUUGGCACAGCCCAGUACGUCAGGUCGAGGUGUAGCUAAUGAGAGGGGAUGAGAUGGGCUACAUUUCCUAAACAAGGAAAUACGAAUAAUGAUUCUGAAACGAGCAUUAGAAGGAGGAUUUAGUAGUAAGUAGAAAACAGAGUGUUCUACUGAAUCGGCCACUUAAGCGCGCACACACCGCCCGUCACUCUCCCCAAGCUAAACAAAAAUUCAUUCCUAAAACCCCCACCUGCGAUAGGGGAGGCAAGUCGUAACAUGGUAAGUGUACCGGAAGGUGCACUUGGAAAAAU
rnacentral:rRNA from 1 species